GGGUGUGAUAAUGACAGCACUAAAGCACCGGAUCCCAUCAGAACUCCGAAGUUAAGCGUGCUUUAGAGAGAGUAGUACUAGGAUGGGCGACCCACUGGGAAGUCCUCGUGUUGCACUCC